rnacentral:rRNA from 1 species
CAAGUCGAACGAAACUAGAAGGCAACUUUUAAGUUUAGUGGCGAAAGGGUUAGUAAUACAUGAAUAACUUACCCUUUACCUGGGGAUAACGACUGGAAACAGGCGCUAAUACCGAAUGAGGUACCGAUAAACAAUUAUUGGCUAUCAAAGUGGGGGCCCUUGUCAAAGAGGCCUUGCGGUAAAGGAUAGGUUCAUGGGAUAUCAUGCUAGUUGGUGUGGUAAAGGCGCACCAAGGCUAAGACGUCUAGGCGGAUUGAGAGAUUGACCGCCAACAUUGGGACUGAGACACUGCCCAAACUCCUACGGGAGGCUGCAGUCGAGAAUCUUUCGCAAUGGGCGAAAGCCUGACGAAGCGACGCUGCGUGAGUGAUGAAGGCUUUCGGGUUGUAAAACUCUUUCGCGCAGGAAAAAACCAAGCUUAGUGAAUAACUAAGUUUGGGCCUAGUGAUUGUACUGCGUAAAGAAGCACCGGCUAACUCCGUGCCAGCAGCUGCGGUAAUACGGAGGGUGCAAGCAUUAAUCGGAAUUAUUGGGCGUAAAGGGCGCGUAGGCGGAAUUAAAAGUCAGAUGUGAAAUUCCGAAGCUCAACUUCGGAGCCGCAUUUGAAACUGCAAUUCUUGAGGAAUGGCGGAGGAAACGGAAUUCCACGUGUAGCGGUGAAAUGCUUAGAUAUGUGGAAGAACACCUGUGGCGAAAGCGGUUUUCUAGCUUUUACCUGACGCUGAGGCGCGAGAGC